GCCCGCGUAGCUCAGUGGUAGAGCAGCCGAUUUGUAAUCGGCAGGUCGACAGUUCGAAUCUAGUCCGUGGGCA
rnacentral:tRNA from 1 species